rnacentral:rRNA from 1 species
GGACUACUAGGGUUUCUAAUCCUGUUUGCUCCCCACGCUGUCGCGCCUCAGCGUCAGCUAUUGACUCUUGCGAGUCACUGCCCAGCAGGCCGCCUUCGCCACCGGUGUUCUUCCGGAUCUCUACGCAUUCCACCGCUACACCCGGAAUUCCACCUGCCUCUACAGUGCUCGAGCCCAGCAGUUGCCACGGCCGACCCGGGGUUGAGCCCCGGGCUUUCACCGCAACCUUACCGAGCCGCCUACGCGCCCUUUACGCCCAGUGAUUCCGGACAACGCUCGCACCCUCUGUAUUACCGCGGCGGCUGGCAC